GGCUUACUGACAGUAUUCUACAGCUUUGACAUGAAAACUUCUCAUAUUCUUCAUUUUUGUGCCUGGCAACGAUGCUAAUUGACAAGAUAGGGUGAAUUGCAGCCUGACAAGUCUUUCUGCAGAAAUGAGAUGAUAAUGCGGCCAGUUGCAUAACUUCUGCAGUUAAAGAGCACAAACAUUUCCGAGCUAGGAACACCACCAGGACAGUGACCUCCAAAGUGGCCCCACACGGCUCAUGGCUCUGCAGAAUACGGCCAAAAGGCAGAACAGGAGAGCACAAGAAAGUUAAG